rnacentral:rRNA from 1 species
CCUGGUGGCCAUAGAGAGGAGGUCACACCCGAUCCCAUUCCGAACUCGGCAGUUAAGCUCCUCAUCGCCGAUGAUACUGCAAGCUAACUUGUGGGAAAGUAGGUCGCCGCCAGGG